rnacentral:lncRNA from 1 species
AUUGAUCGAUGCGCAUUAUCCGAUCGAGUUCCCUCCGACGGAUCCUCGAGUUCCAUUUGUUCGCCACCUCGGCUAAUCGACUUCCGCAGAUAUAAAAUCGCAUCGCGUCGAACGAUGAAUCAUCCCGAUUUCGAUCGAUCGAAUUCGUAAAAUUCAUCGAAAUGUAUUUGGCGUGGAAGGGAGAAGAGUCGGCUCUUUUCCUUCCGCUUGGUCGACUCAGCGUAGCCGCUUCUACGAGCGUCUGUUUUUUCCGCUUAAUUAAAACGGAAACCUUUCGACGAGAUUUCCGGCGGUUUUUUUCCUCCCCCUCUACGGCGAAUCGAGCGAGAGAAUUUAGAAGAAUUAAUUCGAUAAGGAAGGAAGAGGUUAAGUUAGGAUGGUAGGUUGGCUUGAUGAUGUUGGAAGGAAAGAAGGAAAGAAAAAAGGAAUCUUUCGUAAAAUAUAACUUUGCACGAUAACGAGCAUAACAGUAAUCUUAACACGUUUCAGGUAUGCGUGGGUCGUGUACGCGUCCCAGUUUUCGUUUCAUUCCCCCUUUUCCUUUCUCCGAUUUAAACCGUGAAACUGGCACGGAUAAUUCGUGAAAACUGAUUAAAAUAGCGUUUUUACGAGUGGCGAGGUGGAAAACGGUGCGAGUUUACAUCUCGAUCGAUCCACGCCUCUCCUCCCCUCGCUUUUGUUACCUCCGUUACUCCUGCGGCGUGCGGCGUGUAAUGAAACUAAUUUAUUACAAAGUUCGCUGUUAACGAGUUCCAUUCCGAGACGAUCAAAAGCAAAGAUCCACACGCUAAUGAAGCUUGUCACUAAAGUUCGAAAGAUUAACAAGGUUUGAAUGGAAAGAUUCUUGAACGGUUGUAAAAGACACUCAAGUCCAAGAAAUUCUCCCAAAACGCUUUCCAUCAGUCCCUUGAUCUAAAAGGAGCCACACCACUCGCGAAGAAAACUGAUCCGCACGAUCGAUUUGUGUAAUAUAAUUCUUCUCAAGCAGGAUAAUGCUGGUCGAGACUGGACUCCACGUUAACCACGUUUCACUCACACUGAAUCGUUUCUAAAUAUUCGAAGCACUUUAUAUUGCACUUUACUAUAUCUGUUCAAUUUUCUGGACAGCUUUAUCUUCUUCCCUUUCCGCCCGUUAAAAUCGUGAAACGAAACAAACGAAACUAAAUUGAUGUAUUAUGUGCACGAAUAAGAUCCUUCCUCUUUCUUUCGACGUACGAGUUCGAAUUAUUUUACCGUUAGUGGCGCCAUCUGAAAGAGCGUUCUUUUGCUUUCAAGAAGAGUCGCGACGAGCGCUCUAUGUUUCCAGUUCUACACGACAUUUCGAGCGAUACGUCGUGCGAGAAGCAUUGUUCGCGUCACUGUUUACUUUUUGCGUUCCAGCUUGGGAGAUCGACCGUCGAAGUUACUGAAAUGGACGACGAUCGAGAAAGUUCGACGACGAUGAAUUGGAAGAAUCGCUCGAUGAAAAUCCGACCCAGACUCGUGAAUUGACAGAAAGAUUGGGAGACAGACGACUGAAACAAUUAUAAUAAAAUUAUAAUAUUCUCG